AACGAACGCUGGCGGCAUGCCUAACACAUGCAAGUCGAACGAGACCUUCGGGUCUAGUGGCGCACGGGUGCGUAACGCGUGGGAACCUGCCCUUAGGUUCGGAAUAACUCCCCGAAAGGGGUGCUAAUACCGGAUAAUGUCUUCGGACCAAAGAUUUAUCGCCUUUGGAUGGGCCCGCGUUGGAUUAGCUAGUUGGUAGGGUAAAAGCCUACCAAGGCGACGAUCCAUAGCUGGUCUGAGAGGAUGAUCAGCCACACUGGGACUGAGACACGGCCCAGGCUCCUACGGGAGGCAGCAGUGGGGAAUAUUAGACAAUGGGCGAAAGCCUGAUCCAGCAAUGCCGCGUGAGUGAUGAAGGCCUUAGGGUUGUAAAGCUCUUUUACCCGGGAUGAUAAUGACAGUACCGGGAGAAUAAGCUCCGGCUAACUCCGUG
rnacentral:rRNA from 1 species